rnacentral:rRNA from 1 species
UUAAAUUGAAGAGUUUGAUCAUGGCUCAGAUUGAACGCUGGCGGCAGGCCUAACACAUGCAAGUCGAACGGUAACAGGAAGCAGCUUGCUGCUUUGCUGACGAGUGGCGGACGGGUGAGUAAUGUCUGGGAAACUGCCUGGUGGAGGGGGAUAAC